GCUCUAUUCCAGAAGCAGUGUGGAGCACAAAGAAUCCCUAAUCCCUGACAUUAAGAAAGAAGAAAAAUAUUCCUAGGACGAUCCUGGAGAGCAAAGGUCAUUAGCAGUCACUUGACUUUCCUUGGAUUUCUCAACUGCAGUAGUCACACGGUCUGCUGAAAAUGAAUUCUCUUUAUUUUCAUCUGAUUUCAAGGAAUUAUGGUUUUCAGUGAUUUCUUCAUUUGGAUCUAUUUUGAGACAGAGUAAUAGCAUUAAAACCCCCUUCUGAAUUAAUAAGGCAUUUGUUGCUGAAACGCAAAGUGUGACAAGCCAAUGGAGGCCAAGAUUUGAUUUUGAUAGCUCUUCCUACAAUUAUCCUUUGAAGGAAAGCAUAAAGAAGGCAGAGAAAGAAGAGACACAGACAUGCAGAGAAAACACAGGGAAGAAGGCCACAUGGGAUGAAGGCAGAGAUGGGAAUGAUGCAGCUACAAGCCAAGGAAUGCCAUGGACUGCCAGCAACCACUAGAAAGAAGC
rnacentral:antisense_RNA from 1 species